UGAUACUCUUUUUCAUAAUAUCUGUCUGGACAAAAUGGCCAGAGCUGCAUAAACUCAUAAUGUGAUGGGUGAGCAACUGGCUUAUGGGUUGGGCAGAAAGAGCUGUAGUGAGUGAAGUGAAAUAAGACUGUUAACUUGUCCUGCCAUAACCCUGUGCUCUUCAGCAUCUUUGUUAAUGAACUGGAUGCAGGACUCAAAGUUAUGCUAAUUAAGUUUGCUCAUGAUACUAAACUGGGAAGAAUUGCAACUCCUUCAAGGGCAGAGAGAGACCUUGGUGAAUUAGGGAACCGGACAAUCACCAGCUCUCUGGAGUUUUACAAGGACAAGUGCUAGAUUCUGCACCUGGAAUGUGGCAACUCUGAAUGUAUAAACAGACUGAAGAAUAAGAUGAUGCAAAGCAGUGCUACAAAAAGGGAACUGGUAGCAAGGCAGCAGUGCCCUGACAGCCAGGAGAGGCAACCAAGUCCUGGGGGGCAUCAGGCCCAGCAUUGCCAGCUGGGCAAGGGAGGGGAUUGUCCCACUCUGCUCUACAGUGGGGUGGCCUUGCCUUGAAUCCUGGGGGCAGUUUAUGGUGAGAUAGUAUAAGAAGGUUCUAAAGUUAUUAGAAAGUGCCCAAAGAAGAGACAUGAGGAUGAGCAAGGAUCUGGAGAGGAAGCUGUAUGAGGAGUGCCUGAGGUCACUUGAUCUGUUCAGCCUGGAGAAGAGGAAACUGAGAGGAGACCCCAGCACAAUCUUCAACUUCCUUGUGAGGGGAAGAGGAGGUGCAGACACUGAUUUCUUCUCUGUGGCAACUAGUGACAGGACUUGAAGAUCAGCCUGAAACUGAUUCAUUGAUCUGGGAACUGAAGAGACUGGAUAGUAAGUCCUUCAUGACAGUUUGAUCUACACAUUGCUUGCCAUGUAAAACAACCCAACUCUGAUUUAAUUUAUAUACCUUUGAACUAUAUAUGAACUAUAUCCCAAAAGACAAAAUCAAAAAUUUCAGAGAAAAUAUUCUAGAAAGUAUGCAUAAUUUGCCUUUAUGAAGAUUUACCUAAAAUAGAAUUUUGCAGGGUGAGGGGUGCAAAUAAUUUGAAGUCCUACUCUUCCUCCUUUAUGUGUAAAUAUAUACAGAUAUACAUAUAUAUUUAUUUUUUUUUUAAUUUUUCUUUCAAUAUGUGCUCUGGCAGUGUGAGUAGCGUCUUCAUAAAAUGCAGUUCAGAUGGUUGAAAAAGUCUUUUGAGAUAGGAUCAUUGGCAUGAAUGAGUAUUCUUUGAAUAAGGCAAGGCUGUCUCAAAAUGAAUACAUCUAUCUAAUGUCUUUGUAUUCUCCACUUUAUAAAUUGGCUCCCUGAUGAUUUUUUAUGACAAUUUCUGGCUUCAGAAAGCUAUAUAAUCUCUUUCCAUUUAAGGAUCAUAAAACACAUUCAGUGAAGACCCUGCUAUUUACUAAGUUAUAUCUUAUAUUUACUAGGUUAUAUCUUUUGUCAAGUGAGAAUAGUGAAAUCAAUUUAUUUGGCAUCUUAUCUGCAUAGUGCUGUGUCAGCUGUGUACAAAGUAUGAACAAAUUCUGAUGUUGAACCUCAGGGUAUUUGCUUGUCUGAAUUCUCAUUCUGUUGGCCAACAGGAAAUUAUUAGAACUACCCUCAGGAGAUGCAGUUCCCUUAGAGAGUGAAGGUGGCACAGCUUUUCUUUGCAAACCUCACCUCACAGUGCUAAUUUCUGAUUUGACCACCUUUUUUCUCAGUCUUUGUACUACCAUUUAUUUUAUUUCUGAAAGUAGACGUACAACCCAAUAUACUUAUGAAAAUGCAUGUAGCUCUUCAAUAUAGGUUUUAGAUUUAGACUGAGAGACUAAAUAGUUUUUCCUUCUAAGUGACUUGUAUGAAUACUGACAUCAUAAGACCACACAACUAUUGCACCAUUGCAUGCAAUUUAUUACACUGUUAAAAAAAAAAAAAAAGCAAACUAAACCUAACUUGAGAAUGCUUUUCUCUUACUUUUAUUUUCAUUAGAACAGCAAUGGAAUACACCAGACUAGUUAAUUAAGAGAACAAUCGCAGACUUGUAAUGGGGUGGAGAAUGAAGUGGAGCUUGACAUAAAUGACAUUAAAGGGAAGAGGUAGUCAAGAACAGGUCUUUGUUCAGAAACAAUGUAAUUGUCCAUGAGAUGUUUUCUUUGUCUAAGUAUUUGACAGGAGAACUUGCAGAACGUAACUGGCAACCGAUAUUCUCUAAAGUUCCUCAAGUGUGGCAUCUCAGAAGACGUGUUUCAGGAUCUAAAUGUCCAGAUAUAUUUUGGUACACUUAGGCAAGUAAAGCAGGAGAAAGGAAAGGAAAACAGUGUCAUAUUGUAUCUUCUCAUACAUAACCAGUACAGAACAGGCUGUAAAUCUUAUUUAAGUAAAAGCUGGAGCAGCAAGUUGUAGACAUGGGAAGGUACUUUUAAUUUUUUUACUAUUUUGAAACUGUUUUAGGAGAACUUGUUAAAUAAAUUUUCAAGCAGUUUAACCACUCAAUUUUAAUUUAUCUUACAGUUAUUACUAAUUUUAAAGUGAAGUAACUAAAGCUCUAGGAAAACUAAAUAUUUUCCUAAUUAUUUUCUCUUGUUUUAAAAUGCAACUGUCCAAAUUUGGAAAUAUUUUUUGUUUCCAGUUUUUGAUCUGACAAAGAAUCUCAUUAUCGCAACUGCUAUAAUUUGCUUUUUCUCAUUUAGAAAUGUCAGCAAAAUGAAGCAAACAAGGGAAGAAAAUCUACUCUAGUAAUCAGUCUUUUCUUGCUGAAAGAUUCCUUGCGGAUUAAUAGUAAAAGUAUGAAACAUGUCAUGAUGAAAGAUAAAAUGCUUAUUUGAGAAAUCUGCUGGCAAAUUUGUACCUAUGGCCUUUACCAUAGAUAGUAUCACUGAUGAAAAGAGGGAUUCAGACUAGGUGGUGUUUU